GAGCUGUUUAUAGCGUGGUGAGUGGUCAACCUGGUCAGGUUCGGAAGAAAGCAGCCAAGGCCACCUUACUAGUGCAAAACAGUCUCGC
rnacentral:SRP_RNA from 1 species